rnacentral:rRNA from 1 species
GAUGAACGCUGGCGGCGUGCCUAAUACAUGCAAGUCGAGCGAACAGAUGAGGAGCUUGCUCCUCUGACGUUAGCGGCGGACGGGUGAGUAACACGUGGAUAACCUACCUAUAAGACUGGGAUAACUUCGGGAAACCGGAGCUAAUACCGGAUAAUAUAUUGAACCGCAUGGUUCAAUAGUGUAAGACGGUUUUGCUGUCACUUAUAGAUGGAUUCGCGCCGCAUUAGCUGGUUGGUAAGGUAACGGCUUACCAAGGCAACGAUGCGUAGCCGACCUGAGAGGGUGAUCGGCCACACUAGAACUGAGACGCGGUCCAGACUCCUACGGGAGGCAGCAGUAGGGAAUCUUCCGCAAUGGGCGAAAGCCUGACGGAGCAACGCCGCGUGAGUGAUGAAGGUCUUCGGAUCGUAAAACUCUGUUAUUAGGGAAGAACAAAUGUGUAAGUAACUAUGCACGUCUUGACGGUACCUAAUCAGAAAGCCACGGCUAACUACGUG